GUGGGCGGCGCGGGGUGGGUGGAGUGGGUCGGCGGCGGGGAUCCUGCCGAGCCCGCAGCUGCCCUCUUUUAGCGCCGUGUCUCCUCCCCGGCCCUGGCUCGUCCCACCUCAGCCACAGCCCGGCCCCCUGGCCGGCCGAGGUCUCGCCGCCGGCGCCCUGGGGACCUCGUGGGUGUGGCCGGCGGCGACCUCGGCAGGCGACAGCCCAGCAGACGGGCACCAGGUGGACGUGCCAGUCUCCAGACCCCCGUCCCGGUGCAGGGAAGGUGGGCGUUUGGACCCCUGAGGCAGAAACAGGUGCGGCCCCGCCGGCGCAUCCCCCGGAAGGGACGCUGACUUCGUUCCCCUGGAGCCUGCGUCGGGGCCCGCGCUGGGCUGAGAAUUACGGGAACGCCGUGAGAGUUUGCAUUCCGAGGAUUUGGUCUGAGAACCUCACCAGCGAAAUAGAGAACUGCCCCCGGGAGAGCCGGCCCACGUGCCGCCCACCGGCGCCUUGACGGCAGGGAGAGGUCGAGCUUCCAGGGAGCGGGCGCCCGGCGCGGGGCUCCCAGCCUGUCUGUACCUGGUCGAGACACCCCGUGCCAGAGGCGGAACAUGUAUGAAAUGCCAGGUGCCCAGAGGACCCAGGCAGUCCGUCAUUCACAUACCAACCCACGUGCAGGCUUCAAUUCAACCUUGAAGCCAUUUGGGCCUGGGCUUUUUUGAUGACUUAUUUGAUUCAUAGUUUUUUGGUUACUAAUUGAGUCUCUUCACUUGUUAUAGGUCUGUUGAGAUUGUCUAUUUUUUCUUGAGUCAGCCGUCUGAAAAGAACACGAGGUGGACAGGGCAGAGCGGUCAAGGAAAGCCAUAGGAGGAGGGCACUUAUUUGAGCAAAGACCGGCGGGACGUGGGCGUCGAGGGUAAGGAUAUCUGCAGAAGUACUGUCUUGAGCAAGGAGCACGGCAGACAGAGCCUCUGAGACACGAGAGCCUGGAGUGUAAGAAACACAGUAGAGGCCACUAAGUCGAGAACGCAGGAGCUGGAAGGACUGGUAGGAAAUGGGAGGUGGGGACAUGGAGGGAUGCAGACAGGUCCUGCACAGUCAGAACUGUGGCCCCUUCUCUGCAGGAAAUGGGCAGCCUUCGGAAGACUGAGCACACGGAAGGAUAUGACUAACCCUUUAAAAGGGUCAUUCUGACUCCUGGGUGAAGAACAGACUAGGAAGGGCUGAGGAGGAGGCAGGAGGCCAUCUACUGUUAUAUGGGAUGUGGAGUGUGACCCGGAAAGGUCAAGUGUGACUCUAAGGGCUUUUUGUGUACUGAUCUUUUAUCCUGCAACCUUGCUAAACCCAUUUAUUAGUUCUUCUUGUCUUUUAGUGGCAUUUAUUAGUUGUUCUAGUGUUUUAGUGGAUUCCUUGGGAUUUUAUACAAAAGCGUGUCAUUUGUGAAUAGAGAUCAGUUUAUCUCUUCCUUUCUAAUCUGGAUGCCUUUUAUUUCUUCUCCUUGCCUAGCUGCCCUAUCUAGAAGCUCCAGUACAAUAUUGACUAGAAGCAGCAAGAGUGGACAUCCUUGUCUUGCUCCUGAUUUCAGGGAGGAGGCAUCCAGUCUUUCACCUUUGGACAUCCUGAGGUUCCCACCAAGUGGACAUUGGCUUAUUCUACAAGCAACAGGAUGAGGCCCCUGGACUCCUCACUAGCAAAAUAGUGCAGUGACAGCAACACCCCCCCCCACACACACACACACAAAGAUGUCCACAUCUUAAUUCCUGGAACCUGUGAAUGUGUGACCUUACCUGGUGUCUUAGUUCAUUUGUGCCACUGUAACAAAAUACCACAGACUGGGUAAUUUAUAAACAAUAUAAAUUUGUUUCUCAUGGUUCUGAAGGCUGGGAAGUCCAAGAUCAAGGCACUGGCAUGUCCUGUGUCUGGUGAGAGCACUUCGUUACUGUUUCCUCUGGAGGGAAGAAUGCUGUGUCCUCACAAGGUGGGAUGGACAGAGGGGCAAGAAAAGGCCAAACUCCACAGGAAGCCUCUUUUAUAAGAGGAGCCCUCGUGACCUAGUCCGAAAUGGCCCCACCUCUUCUUUCACCACAAUGGGGACCAAGUUUGUUGUUAGUUAACCUAAAUGACAGAGGAGCUCUCUAAAGAGAUAUUUAUUCAGGAAUAGGGCCUUGCAACGGGAACACGUAUAUUACGGUAACUGCAUGUUCAAGGAAGACAAAAGUUUUAAA
rnacentral:lncRNA from 1 species